rnacentral:tRNA from 1 species
GGGCCUGUAGCUCAGUUGGUAGAGCACGAGACUUUUAAUCUUGGGGUCGUGGGUUCGAGACCCACCGGGCCCACCA